GACGAACGCUGGCGGCGUGCUUAACACAUGCAAGUCGAACGGAAAGGCCCUGCUUUUGUGGGGUGCUCGAUUGGCGAACGGGUGAGUAACACGCGUGUAACCUGCCCUUGACUUUGUGAUAACUCUAGGAAACUGGGGCUAAUACCGGAUAGGAGCUCCUGCUGCAUGGUGGGGGUUGGAAAGUUUCGGCGGUUGGGGAUGGACUCGCGGCUUAUCAGCUUGUUGGUGGGGUAGUGGCUUACCAAGGCUUUGACGGGUAGCCGGCCUGAGAGGGUGACCGGCGACAAUGGGACUGAGAUACGGCCCAGACGCCUACGGGCGGCAGCAGUGGAGAAUAUUGCGCAAUAGGCGGAAGCCUGAUGCAGCAGCGCCGCGUGCGGGAUGCCGGCCUACGAGUUGUAAACCGCUUUGGACUGUGACGAAGCGUGAGUGACGGUAAUGGGUAAGGAAGCACCGGCUAACUACGUG
rnacentral:rRNA from 1 species